GUCCUGAAAAACACAUCACCUUCAGAAUGUAAUCUGCACAUCUCCCCUUAAAGCAAAAACUAACUGGGAAGCUGGACACAGUGGCCCACACCUGUGAUUCCAGGGAUUCUGGAGGCUGAGGCAAGAAGAUUGCAAGUCUGAGUGACUUAGCAAGACCCUGUCUCAAAAUUUAAGAAAAGAAAAAAGGGCUGGAGAUGUAGCUCGGGACCAGAGCGCCAGUCCAGCAAGCACGAGACCCUUGGUUCAAGAUCCAGAGCUGCAGAAAAAACCCUGCUGCUGCAUGGACACAUCGAGCCCCUGGGCAGAGCAGGAGUCCCACCCUGUGGGCAGCCACAUGUGCUCAGGGCAGAGGGGAGGUGGCGGAGACAGGGCCAGAGGCUGUUCCCAUGUCCCACCCUCCCAGAGCCUCCCUGGAGGAAACAGGCCACCUGCAGCCGGACUCGGCCAUGGGCAAAGCCAGGUGUACAGCAGGUGUCCAUCAGGUGCCUGCGGACUGCUGGUCCCCUCUUGGCCACUCAGUGAAGGACUUGGACAAGCACUGCCCCUCGGACCUCGCUCUCUGAAUCAGGUGUGUGGCCCAAUCUCAAGCCCUGGACCAAACCCCAAGGCCCAUGGUUCCAACUGGCAUUUUGAGGAGGGCACUCUGUCCAGGAAAGGGACAGCCACACGGAGCAUCACGCCCACCUCACGGAGCACAGGCAGAAGCAGCCAGCACAUCAGCAUGAUGACAUCUUCACAGGACAGGAAGUUGG
rnacentral:lncRNA from 1 species